GACUAAACUUCAGCGCUUCAGUCCAAUCUCUAGUCUCUCAUUCUCCUAACGCUGCAUUCGUCUCUUGGACAUACACAAAGUGAUUCAAUUUCCUCUUCAGAGGGGAAUGUGCUUGCCCUGUUCACACCUUCAGUCUCAGUCAGGCCCCAGUGCAAAGGUCAGAGUAACCAACAGUGUGCUUUAAACGCAGUAGAUGCACUGAAUUCCUCAAACUGAGGUAGGAUUAAAAUGAUAGGCAUGCUUUUAACCAACCCUCUGAGUAAGGUUGAAGAUUUUACCAGCUGUGUAUAUCUUCAUUUCUCACAUGGACUAUCUCAGCAGAAGAGACAAGAGGUUUGACAACAAUUUGCUGUCAAACUCUCUCUGUGGCAGUUCAGACAUUACCCUUCCACCUGCCCACCCGUACGAUAUUGCCAGGAUGUAUUGUCUCAGAGUAUGAUAAACAGAAAAGAGGAUGUGAGGUCCCACUGCAGUGCAAAAUGAGGGGCAACUAAGGGAAGACUAGACCAUCAACCAGAACAUCUGUAAAACAGGCACACAUACCUUUCCAUCAAGUCUCUAGCAGUGGGGGGAUUAAAGAAAGAAGGGAGGUACUGUCUGUCAGAGGGAUAAAGCAGGCAGCAGAGGGAAAUAAUGUCUUCACACACCACUGCAAGAUUUAUUUGAAUGUAUCUUUAGCCAGGACAACACUAAGCAUUGCAGCACCAAACCCUGAUGUGUCUUAUAAGUGGUAAAUAUAGACCUCUCAAGUAUGCUGGAUGAAGUGUAAUACACAAUAGUAGUUGGUGAUAUAGAAAGAGAAUCUAAUGAGGCAGAUGCCACCUAAGCCAGUGGUCUACACCGAACAGGAUAGUCUUACUUUAGCUCUUCCCUCUCAGAAUUAUUCUCUGAGCAUCUCUGAGCAUAGAAUCCACCUGUGUCCACCAGGUAUUCACAUUUUUGGAGUUUUUGCUAGGUUUAGACUCAAACAUAAGCUUUUUUUCAUGAAACAUGGAUGGAGGAUGAAGUGAUAACCCAUACCAGCUAGAAUACAGUGACUAGGUUUCCUGUGAAUGCACAUCUGUCCUCUCCCUCAUCAGCAGGCUACUCUUUACUGAAUGAGAAAGAAAAAGAAGCAUCUUUGUUUCUUUUCUGGUGUUGCUCCAAUGGACACAAAUGAAUGAACUAUUAACUGGCCUAGUAAAAACGUGCAAGGUCUGGUUAUUGCACGCGUGUGGGAGAGAAAUGCUCUUUUCCUCCUCUGAGGAAUGCUGACAGAUUACAUAUUAAGCAGUCAACAACUUGGUAGCAUUAGCUAAUUUUGAUGGCAUUUAUUAUAAUUCGCACAGGGAAUACAGGAUUUCAACCAAGUGAGCUCAGUUCAAAUUAUUGUAUUUGAUGGGGAAGAGCACCUAGCACUUUACAGGACCAAGUUCCUAUGUGGUAGUGGUACUUAACUAUUUAUUAGCUACUAAUCAGCUUUCUAGGAAAAUUCUGAAAAGAAAGCAGAACAGCUACAUGAGUCAAAAGUUAUCAGAUCUGUGACCAAUGGGAAAAAUAGUCACUAGCUUUUGUGGGUUUUGGAGAAGACCACUAAAAACAAAUGAGAAAGAAAGAAAAAUUUUCUUUUCUUUCUCCCAUUCCUUCUGUCUCUCCACAUUUCCACCUUUCCCGUUCUCUGAGUGAGUCACCAGUCUGACCCAGGACAUAUUUUUGCCUUAGUAACCCUCUGAAAAAUUAAAUGCAUUUGAUAAGAUGUAAAGCUCUCCUACUUUAUAUUUGCUACAUGUGCAGGAAAAAAAAAAAGAAAGAAACAAAAAAAAG
rnacentral:lncRNA from 1 species